UCUUAUUUUUUAAUGUGUAUUGGUACUCCCCAGGGCUCUCUUCUCUUUUUCAUCUUCUGGAGAUUCUCAAGAGGCCUUCAGUGGUUUCAUCUUUCAACAAUGAGCAUUUGGCAGGAUGGUAGUAAAAGCCAUGUGGCUGAAACUGAUUCCAGGCCUCAAGGUUCAUCCUUAAUCAACAACAUUACCCGUCCAGUUGCUGUCUGAAUUGUUAGAGAACAAAAGGGAAACCAGAAAUUCCAAGAGACAAUUCAAUAGAAUGAAUAAAAUCCAACAGAGCCAAAGAGGGAGCAGAGGAGAACAACAACAACAAUUGAUAUAUCAAGGUAAGGACUGAGGUUGGAUUCUUUUACUAUUAGAAUAUACAUUAAAUACA
rnacentral:lncRNA from 1 species